AACGCGAAGAACCUUACCAAGGCUUGACAUACACCGGUAACGCCAGAGAUGGUGCCCCUUGUGGUCGGUGUACAGGUGGUGCAUGGUUGUCGUCAGCUCGUGUCGUGAGAUGUUGGGUUAAGUCCCGCAACGAGCGCAACCCUCGUCCUAUGUUGCCAGCGGGUCAUGCCGGGAUCAUGGGAGACUGCCGGGUCAACUCGGAGGAAGGUGGGAUGACGUCAAUCAUCAUGCCCCUUAUGUCUUGGGCUUCACGCAUGCUACAAUGGCCGGUACAAAGGGCUGCGAUACCGCGAGGUGGAGCGAAUCCCAGAAAGCCGGUCUCAGUUCGGAUUGGGGUCUGCAACUCGACCCCAUGAAGUCGGAGUCGCUAGUAAUCGCAGAUCAGCAACGCUGCGGUGAAUACGUUCCCGGGCCUU
rnacentral:rRNA from 1 species